GACGAACGCUGGCGGCGUGCUUAACACAUGCAAGUCGAACGGAAAGGCCCUGCUUGCCGGGUACUCGAGUGGCGAACGGGUGAGUAACACGUGGGUGAUCUGCCCUGCACUUCGGGAUAAGCCUGGGAAGCUGGGUCUAAUACCGGAUAGGAGCCAUUUUUAGUGUGAUGGUUGGAAAGUUUUUUCGGUGUAGGAUGAGCUCGCGGCCUAUCAGCUUGUUGGUGGGGUAAUGGCCUACCAAGGCGGCGACGGGUAGCCGGCCUGAGAGGGUGGACGGCCAAGUGGGGACGGGGAGGCGGCGAAGAAGGCGACGGGAGGAAGUGGGGGUGAAGAUGGAACGAAGGGCGGAGUGGUGAAGCAUGGAGGAGGGGGGGGGGAUGAGGGGUUGCGGGUUUUAAACUCUGUUCGCGAGGGAGGAAGCUUGUAGGGAGGGUACUUAGGUAAGAAGAAAGGACAAGGUGGGUGCGAGAAGACGAGGUAAUAGAUAAGAGCAAACGUCUGAAC
rnacentral:rRNA from 1 species